AAUAAUUUGGAAUAGAAAAUAAAUGAGACCUUAAGGAGAAAAUCACUCUGUUAGUGUGCAUUGAAAAAUGAAAACACUUGGUCAAGUUUGAAUCAACAAUUAAGUGAAUGCCGCCCUUUCUUGAUUCUAUGCUGUCACAACUUGAAGUGCAUCUUAGCAUACCUCCCGGUUGAGAUGGAUAUGUGGCCACACCAGAAAAGAUCAGGUCCGGAAUGAUGAUAUACGUGAUAGAGUUGGGUAGCACUGUUUGAAGAGAAGCUUGUCCAACAUCGUCUGAGAUGGUGUGGCCAUACAACGCAGGCCUCCAGAAGCGCCAGUGCAUAGCAGAUGGUUAAAUCAUGCUGAUAAUGUCAAGAGAGGUUGGGGUAGAACAAACUUGGCAUGGGAGAAGUCCGGAAAGAGAGAUCUGAAGGACCAGAAUAUCACCAAAGAACUAGCCAUGGACAGGGGUGUGUGGAAGUUAGCUAUUCACGUGCCAGAACCAUGACUUGGUUUCAAGAUCUUAUGGGUUUCAACUCUAGCCUAGCCCAAUUUGUUUGGGACGGAAAGGCCACUUGAAGCGAAACAAUUUAAUCAAUUUAAGCAAACAGUAUUCAUCCUAUUUGCAGUCUGAAACUGUUAAUAUAAGUUAUGCAUUAAGGGUGUGUUUGAUUUGGGGCAUAGGGUAGAAUGUAAUGGGUUCAUCCUACACAUAGCACAUAUUGUUGUGUUUAGUUUGAAAAGGAACCAGAACACACAUUCCUCAAAAGAGAAUAUACCCCUUAGACACAGUUCCACCCCUCUCGCCUCACCGUCCAUGCCCUCUCACCACACCCAAUCAUAUCCCCUUGCCUCUCUCGUCUAUGGUGGCAGCGGAGAUGGUCAGAUGGAAAGAGCAGCGGCGCCUCCAGCGAGAAUGCGACUAGUGGCAUCGGGAUAGCAGCCAUGGAAAAUCAGCGGCGGCGGCUAGCGGGGAAGAGAGGCAGUGUGGCGGGAGGGGUAGCCGUCGGCUGCUGGGUGGCGGACGAUUUGGCCAAGAGCAAGCCGGCAAGGAAGCCGACGCAGACCCACAUGCCAUGGGGGUGUUCGCCGUGGUUUGCGUGCUGACCGCCCAGGUGCUGUAUGCUGCACUGUUCAAGGUGCUUCUGCUUGGCAUGGUGUUCUUUUACCUCAGGCACCCAAGGUUCUCUAGGAUUGAGCCGAAUCGAUCUACUCACGCCAACCCUUUUCUUUCUCGCUUGAGAGCUUCAUCUUCUUGGCUAGCCUUUUCAGCUAGCUACCUUUUUCGAGAGAGAGAGAGAGAGUGCAGAAAUGCAAGCAAGAGAGAAUAAAUUGCUACUGGUUGUAAACUGCAAUCAGCAAGUGCAUGUGUGGUAAUGUCGAGUCUGAACUCUGAAGUGUUGGUGCAUGCGGGAGUCUGAACUCUGAAGUGUGUACCACAUGUCAGUUAUUUAUGGAUGCAGCUACUGAUGUUGUGUGGUUGUGGUGUGAUCCUACUUAUUCGGAUCGUUUGACAUCGCUAUUUGCUGCAACAGAUGGUUCUAUACUGAAAUACAAUUGAAACUUUUGCUUAGUUCGAAUAAUUUGUUGAUAAAAGAGGUAAUCUCACCAUUUCUAUUGCACAUAUGAAGAGGUAAUCUCACCAUUUCUAUACAAGAGGCGACCUGAACCAAAUUCAUUCCAUUUCGUCUCCCCGACCAAACACUGGAAUGCAACCCUUCCGUUCACCUAAUUAUCCAAACCAAACACAGGAACGGAACCAAGCCGUUCCAGUGGAAUGGUACCAUGACAUCCUAUUCCAUUUUGUUCCCAAACUAAACACACCCUAAGGGUCACAUUUCUACCACAGAUCACCCAGUUCCAGGAUCGAAGAUUCAGUUACUUACAUGUGCGUACUAAAUAACUAAAUAUAGCAUAUCAAAUCAUGCAUCACCUGUAAAGGGACCAAAUAGUUCUCGAGAUAAUAAAUUUCUUGACUAUAAACAGCUUGUGGUGCUAUAGCCUAUAGUUAUAGAGUGCAGGCUUUUGAAGGCCGAGCACCAGGUAGGCCGGUAUCUGGGCCGUGCAAUGAGUUUUGGGAUCUGAAAUGCGCCAGGCUUUUGACAGGCUGCUGUCGGCCUAGGCAUCCAAUAUACGGUCCGGAAUACAUCGGCCCAGCGUACAUGUUUGGCCCAUAUCCUGCUCGUGUGCCGCCUCCUGCCGUUAUCCUUGACCUCGUGGAAUUACCCCAGCCACGGAACAACUCUUCUUCUCCGCUCCCCUGUCUCUCCCAAGGCCGACGGGGCGCCGUCGCUCUCCGGCAAGAUGUUUGGGGUCGACUCCGACAGAUCCAGUCCACCUGCUUCACCACGCCGGAGUCUAUGGAAGUCCCUCGGCCUGGAGAGUGCAGGCUGCCAGUUCUGGACACUGGCCCUCUAGCCGUGAUGAGGCCGGUCGAGUAGCAGGCUUCUCUUCGCAUCGCCAAUGGGGAAAUCUGACGUGCCGGGAAACUAGGCGGCGCCAGGCAAAGCAUUAGAUUCCCCCUGAAUUUGACGGGAUUCAGGUGUGAUCUGAAGCUACCAACGGCUGGACUGGAGGUUUGGGAUGGGGGUAGCAGCAGUGAAGCGUGAGGUUGAUCCAAACAGAAAGAGUACUUUGGAAAUAUCAAUUAGGUUAUUUAUAACCAAGCUGGAAGUUUGUUCAUGGCUAAUGGUGUUUGGUGUUUUCGUGGCUAAUGGUGUUUUUUUUCUAUUGUUAGAAAAUGCAAAUGAUUUGGUUCUAUUGGAACAUAAAAGAGAUAUGAAGGCAAUUUGUUGAA